GAUGAAGCAAAGGCUAGCAUUAAAACUCAGAAGCAGAAUACUACUACCAGACUACAAACCUGCAAUAACAUUUUGGCAAUGACACAGCCAUUGCAUUCAAAAUCACUUUCUUUCACUGGAGAUAAGAGAAUCAAUCUAUCUUGGAAAGAAGCAGUGAAACCCUUCCUAAUAGGGCAUUUGAAGGUCUAUCAUACUUACAUUCUAUUCUAGUCCACAUUUUUUUCAUUUGUGAUACAAAAUAACAAUAAUUAUUACAUUUCAUAAAUGGAUUAUGA